UACGUAGGGUGCGAGCGUUGUCCGGAAUUAUUGGGCGUAAAGGGCUCGUAGGCGGUUUGUCGCGUCGGGAGUGAAAUCCACUGGCUUAACUGGUGGCUUGCUUUCGAUACGGGCAGACUGGAGGCAUGCAGGGGAGAACGGAAUUCCUGGUGUAGCGGUGAAAUGCGCAGAUAUCAGGAGGAACACCGAUGGCGAAGGCAGGUCUCUGGGCCACUACUGACGCUGAGAAGCGAAAGCAUGGGGAGCGAACAGG
rnacentral:rRNA from 1 species